rnacentral:lncRNA from 1 species
AAUUUAAGAAAUAAAGUAGCACUUGCAAUAAGUGCAAUUUUUUUCCCAUCUUUUUUGUGUUCAUUCAAUUAUUACAAAGUAUUAAUAUAACUUAAUAUUUAUACAUAAUUCUAAAAAAAAAAUACAAAAUAACGAAACCCAGCCCGGCCCGGACCAUUACAACCCGUAACCCGUACGGUUCAAUCUAACCCCUAACAACCC